rnacentral:lncRNA from 1 species
AAACAACUUUUAUUUUUAAAAUGAAAGCAAACUUUCGUUAAAAUGUUUGAUUUUAUGCAGUCCCAAAGCCCACUUAAGCCAUUUACAAUGCCAUCAAAAUGAUUAAAACAAAAAAGAAAAAAGAAAUCAGCCACAAAACUCAUAACAUCAGCCAAAAAUCGCGAUCGCGAAUAACAUAUCCCAAAAAUCACCUGCAACUCAACCGAAAUCCCUAAAUUUCCCAGCAGCAAACAUGAGUAAGCCAUCAAAAAUUGAUCAAUACUUCAAAAGGAAAAAUGCAGAAGCCAAUACCA